rnacentral:rRNA from 1 species
GACGAACGCUGGCGGCGUGCUUAACACAUGCAAGUCGAACGGAAAGGCCCUGCUUUUGUGGGGUGCUCGAGUGGCGAACGGGUGAGUAACACGUGAGUAACCUGCCCUUGACUUUGGGAUAACUUCAGGAAACUGGGGCUAAUACCGGAUAGGAGCUCCUGCUGCAUGGUGGGGGUUGGACAGUUUCGGCGGUUGGGGAUGGACUCGCGGCUUAUCAGCUUGUUGGUGGGGGAGUGGCUUACCAAGGCUUUGACGGGUAGCCGGCCUGAGAGGGUGACCGGCCACAUUGGGACUGAGAUACGGCCCAGAGUCCUACGGGAGGCAGCGGGGGGGAAUAUUGCACAGUGGGCGGAAGCCUGAUGCAGAAACGCCGCGUGCGGGAUGACGGCCUUCGGGUUGUAAACCGCUUUCGCCUGUGACGAAGCGUGAGUGACGGUAAUGGGUAAAGAAGCACCGGCUAACUACGUG